UACGAAGGGGGCUAGCGUUGCUCGGAAUCACUGGGCGUAAAGCGCACGUAGGCGGGUCUUUAAGUCAGGGGUGAAAUCCUGGAGCUCAACUCCAGAACUGCCUUUGAUACUGAGGAUCUCGAGUCCGGGAGAGGUGAGUGGAACUCCGAGUGUAGAGGUGAAAUUCGUAGAUAUUCGGAAGAACACCAGUGGCGAAGGCGGCUCACUGGCCCGGUACUGACGCUGAGGUGCGAAAGCGUGGGGGAGCAAACAGGG
rnacentral:rRNA from 1 species